rnacentral:rRNA from 1 species
UACGUAGGGGGCAAACGUUGUCCGGAAUCAUUGGGCGUAAAGCGCGUGUAGGCGGUCCGGUAAGUCUGAUGUGAAAGCCCACGGCUCAACCGUGGAGGGUCAUUGGAAACUGGGGGACUUGAGUACAGAAGAGAAGAGUGGAAUUCCACGUGUAGCGGUGAAAUGCGUAGAGAUGUGGAGGAACACCAGUGGCGAAGGCGACUCUUUGGUCUGUAACUGACGCUGAGGCGCGAAAGCGUGGGGAGCAAACAGG